rnacentral:misc_RNA from 1 species
UUGACAAACUAUGCAAGCAUAGAAAGUUAUUCAAAUCAAGUCACUUUUUUGCAUGAUUCGAGUUAUAGAAAGACUAUAAACAAUUUGACACCAUUCUCCUUAACCCCCAUAUACCUCCAAGCUCCAACCCCAACAAUGUCUCAGUCAAGCGUCUGAGGCAAAAGAAAAGGCCCAGUUAUUAAAGUCACCAAUUGGAAAAAGAGAUGGUAUUGACAUUAUAUUUGUAUAUGAUAAAUUGGGAAGAUAAUUGAGAGACCGACAGAAAAGGGUAACAAACAUUCACUACACCCUAAUUGAUUAGAUCACUAUCCUUGAAACUAACAUAAAAAAUGAACAUAUGACCCAGCCACUUCUCCUACCCCAACCAACUCAUUAACCUCACAACCUUCAUUUUAGUUUUUGACGCAUUCAACUUCUGAAUUUACACCAUAAACAUUCUUUCUUUCUCUGAUCAUUCUCAAAUAUGGGGAACCAAAGAUAUCAUCAUGCUUUGUGACGCUAUAGUUAUGAUUAACCAUCUGUCAGGUUGAGCUGAAGCCACAGCUGAAGUAUACUAAAACUACCACCACCUAAUUUCCGCAGCUUCCCCUCGACAAUCACAUUGUGGUGGGCCCAGAGAGCGGGAUCAGAAGGAACGGAUACGUACGCUCAAGGUCCUUGGUGAAAGUCAUGCACAUAUAANNNNNNNACCUUUGAGCUUGUUCUGAACCAGCUGCAACAGAAGUGGUGCUAGGACCAGCACCAUUUUCAACUGGAGGGGAGGUGCCCCAUUUUCCUUCCAUCUCCAAUGGUUCAAGCACAUGGACUCCCCCAUCCGUUAGUCCUAAUGCAAACUGAUUGGGCUCAGACGGAUGUGCAGCAAUGACAAGAGGAUAUACCCUCAUGCUAGGAUUGGGGGGUAAAUAAGCAGUAGCAUUUAUUCUGCAUCUCAAACUUAGUGUUGAAGCAGUAAGAACACCAACGCUACCAUCUUCGAAGCUAACAUAUAUGGACUGGCUAUCACAAGAAUAUGCAGCAUGUGUAAUUGGACCAGUUGCUUCUCGAGGAAGAAACCACUGUUUAAGGCGUUCGAAUUUUGGUGCUUCAUAUAUAGCUAUUUGCGAUUCGUGAACUGCCAGCAGAUGCGUCUGG